GGACGAAAUUGGUCCACACCUGUUGUAGUGUAACAGGUAAAGAUGGAUACACCUGAGAGGAACCGUCACAGCCUACCUUCGUCCUCCUUUGGAAACAAGGCCGGCGGAUUUCCGGUUCCGGGAGGCUGCAAUGCGAAGGGGCCGGCCGCCAGAGGGCGCUGCGGUCCGGCCGGAAAAGGCGUCUCCGCGCGCUCCUCGGUCCGGCAGCGCCUCCUUCCGCCGCCCGCACUUCCGCUUGUGCAGGCCUGCCAUGGAGAGCAGCAGCGGGGAGGAAGAGGGCGAGGAGGACUGUGAGGAGGCCUACCUCCGGCACCGGCGCCUCUGCCAGUACGGAAUCCCCUGCCGAGAAAUCAGCGGAGAGAUUUGCUGGUACUGUGAAGAAGAAGAUUAUUUUGGCUCUGAAGACUGGGAGGACUGCAGUGAGGUGCCAGAGGGAGAGGACAAGGCCCAGGGGGUCACACAGGGCACCUUCUGCGGAUUUAAGAAGUCUUUUCUUUGCAAGUCACCUUCUACCCCUCAGCAGCCAUCACAUCGCAGCGGACCAGACUGCCAACUCCUGGACAUCAUACUGCCGCGGAAGCAGCAACUCACUGCUGAGGAAGUGGAGAAAAACGCCGAAGAGUUAGUUGCAGAGGAGGAGCGGAUCAAGAGGGAGGCGGAGAAAAAAAGAGAGAAGAAGAAGCAAAAAAAGAAGGACACUUGCCUUCUCUCUUCUCCAGAGGCAAAAGGACAGGAAGAGGAAAGAGAAGAAUGGCCAGGAGUCCAAGGAUGAGUCGGUGAGUGGAGGAAGCAGCUUUUGCUCAAGUGGUGGGUGGGCCCUUUUGCUCCACUCAAACUCCAACAGCCUCCUAAUUUCCUGCUACCAGUGACUUCUGUUGGGUGAGUGGGCUUAUUAACAAAAGACCCCAUCUCCAUAAGUGUAUAGCAGAGUAACUUAUCAAUAGCAGUAGCCAAAAGUGAUAAAAAAAAACACAGACCAAUGUUAUCUCUUCCUAGGAGGCUUGUCUUUAUACGGUAGCAAAAUAAUAUGGUUGCACUAUUUACAAGAACAAGAUUUCUGCAACUCAAAUGAAGUUAUUUAUACUUCCAUGUUUGCUUCCAUGCUGGGCUUCUUUCUUAUGAAGAUAAACAGCUUUGCUCUCACAGAGCCUCCUCUCUCAAUGAAUUUACACAGGAGCUUCACACAUUAGCUUUACACUUAGCAGCCUUCACACUUGUGAUGAACCAUGGGCCUUGUAGUCCUGCUCA
rnacentral:lncRNA from 11 species